CCUGCCUCUGCCCGCUCCCCGGGCGCAGAAACGCGGGUUUCAUGGGGCGAUCGCCGCGGAUCCCCCACCCAGCGCAACCUGCGGGCAGCGGCGGCAAUGGCAGGAGCCGCCUCUCGGACUCCCUAGGAUGCGGGUGCUGAGCUAUGGCAAAGGGCAGCGAAGUGACGAGAGAGACCCGCGAACGACUGUGAAAGCCACCUGGAGCCACCUUGCCGGAUUGUACCUGCGGGCAGAAAGUCCUCCUACGACCGUCUUUUCCUCUAGAGGCACCAGAGUCCCUGUCACCCUUCUGCCAGGUGUUGGGAAGAUAUGUAGUGGCCGAGCACCCUUCCUUCCGACGCCAUCCUCAGAAUCAGCUUCGGAGAUGCUCUUACCCCGUUCGUCUUCUGCAGCAGCCAGGCCGAGUGCUGACUCCUUCACAGCCGUGAGGAACUCUUCAGCCUCCAGAAAAGCGGUCCAGUAUAAUCAACCUGUCACCAGGUAGCUGGCUGUCCCCUCUCAAGGAAUUAUCUCAUAUCAGGAGCU
rnacentral:lncRNA from 1 species